rnacentral:rRNA from 1 species
UCCUACGGGGCGCAGCAGUGAGGAAUAUUGGUCAAUGGGCGAGAGCCUGAACCAGCCAAGUCGCGUGAGGGAAGACGGUCCUAUGGAUUGUAAACCUCUUUUGCCGGGGAGCAAAAAGCGGUACGUGUACCGCAUCGAGAGUACCCGGAGAAAAAGCAUCGGCUAACUCCGUGCCAGCAGCCGCGGUAAUACGGAGGAUGCGAGCGUUAUCCGGAUUUACUGGGUGUAAAGGGAGCGUAGACGGCAGCGCAAGUCUGGAGUGAAAUGCCGGGGCUCAACCCCGGAACUGCUUUGGAAACUGUGCG